UGGGGAAUAUUGCACAAUGGGGGAAACCCUGAUGCAGCGACGCCGCGUGAGCGAAGAAGGUUUUCGAAUCGUAAAGUUCUGUCCUAUGAGAAGAUAAUGACGGUAUCAUAGGAGGAAGCCCCGGCUAAAUACGUGCCAGCAGCCGCGGUAAUACGUAUGGGGCGAGCGUUGUCCGGAAUUACUGGGCGUAAAGGGUACGUAGGCGGUCUAUUAAGUCAGGUGUGAAAGCGUGAGGCUUAACCUCAUUAAGCACUUGAAACUGAUAGACUUGAGUGCAGGAGAGGAAAUGGGAAUUCCUAGUGUAGCAGUGAUAUGCGUAGAUAUUAGGAGGAAUACCGGUGGCGAAUGCGACUUUCUGGACUUUUACUGACGCUCAGGUACGAAAGCGUGGGGAGCAACCAGG
rnacentral:rRNA from 1 species